UCAGAAUCAACGCUGGCGGCGCGCUUAACACAUGCAAGUCGAACGAGAAAGGGGAGCAAUCCCUGAGUAAAGUGGCGCACGGGUGAGUAACACGUGGGUAAUCUACCUCUGGGUGGGGAAUAACCCUGGGAAACCGGGGCUAAUACCGCAUAGGCCCGCAAGGGGAAAGGCGCAAGUCGCCUGGAGAGGAGCCCGCGGCCGAUUAGCUAGUUGGUAGGGUAAGAGCCUACCAAGGCAAAGAUCAGUAGCCGACCUGAGAGGGUGAUCGGCCACAUUGGAACUGAGACACGGUCCAAACUCCUACGGGAGGCAGCAGUGGGGAAUAUUGCACAAUGGGCGAAAGCCUGAUGCAGCAACGCCGCGUGAGCGAUGAAGGCCUUUGGGUCGUAAAGCUCUGUCCUAGGGGACGAACACAAUGACGGUACCCUUGGAGGAAGCCCCGGCUAACUACGUGCCAGCAGCCGCGGUAAUACGUAGGGGGCGAGCGUUAUCCGGAAUUAUUGGGCGUAAAGGGUGCGUAGGCGGUUCAUUAAGUCUGUGGUUAAAGUGCGGGGCUCAACCCCGUAUAGCCAUGGAAACUGGUGAACUAGAGUGCAGGAGAGGGCAGUGGAAUUCCAUGUGUAGCGGUAAAAUGCGUAGAUAUAUGGAGGAACACCGGUGGCGAAGGCGGCUGCCUGGCCUGUAACUGACGCUGAGGCACGAAAGCGUGGGGAGCAAAUAGGAUUAGAUACCCUAGUAGUCCACGCCGUAAACGAUGAUUACUAAGUGUUGGAGAAAUUCAGUGCUGCAGUUAACGCAAUAAGUAAUCCGCCUGGGGAGUAUGCACGCAAGUGUGAAAC
rnacentral:rRNA from 1 species